UACGGAGGGUCCGAGCGUUGUUCGGAUUCACUGGGCGUAAAGGGUGCGUAGGUGGCAUGGUAAGUUUGAUGUGAAAGCUCAGGGCUCAACCCUGAAAUGGCAUUGAAUACUACUGUGCUGGAGGUUUGGAGGGGGGACUGGAAUUCUCGGUGUAGCAGUGAAAUGCGUAGAUAUCGAGAGGAACACCAGUGGCGAAGGCGAGUCCCUGGACAACACCUGACACUGAGGCACGAAAGCUAGGGGAGCAAACAGGAUUAGAAACCCUAGUAGUCC
rnacentral:rRNA from 1 species